AAUACAGAAACAAAAAAUGUCAUGCAAAUCUAGGAAAGGAUAGGUUGAUCAAGGCCUCCAGAAAGGAGAUUCAAGUUGAACACAGAUGCAUCAAUUAAUAUUCAUGGUGAGACAGGUUUGGGCUUCAUGUGCAAAGAUUGGAAACGUAAAUUGAUGUGUCGUAUCCCAUCUUAGGCGGAGAUUGAAAUGCCAGAAGAUAUGGGUAUACUGUAUCGGCUGAAAGAGGCUACAGAAUGGGCAUCACACAUUUGAUUGUAGAGUGACUCCAGGACUCUAUUUCUAGCGCUUUCAACAAGAAGGGUGGACCACUCUGAGAUGGGGUUAAUUACAGUUGACAUUUUAUCUUAUAAUUAUGUUGUACAUGCCUUACGUUAAAACCUGACUCUGUUGUUUUCAAUUUGGAGUCACCUAUCUUCUUUGUUCCUCUGCUUGUGCAGGAUGAUUGUCAAUCAAUGAUAUGAUAUGAUGUUUUCUUCUAAAAAAUAUACAUACAUAUAUAUCUCUUAAUUAUUUAGGAACUGAUGGAAUAUAAUACACAUAAUAUGCUAAGAAUAAUCUCUUACAGUGGGAGGAACCGAACUGCUGCAGCUUUACAACAUUCUCAGCUGACAUCCUUCGUCUCAAAUAGCAAUUGGCAGAAGGAGAUUGCAUUAAAAUCUGGCAUAAGUAUAAUCAAAAUAGAACAUAAAUUCCCUCAGGCUAGAAACUGAUGAAAUGUCUUUCAAUCUCAUUUCAAAUCGGGACUGUACUGAAAUCAUCUAAUUCCACUGAGAAUUAUCCAUCUAAUUCCACUGGGUAGAAUGCCAUUAAAUAUUCAUUUGUUCCCUGAUAGAAUUAUGGCUUCUGCCCUCAUGCUUCUGCUUAUAUAAUCAUCUAAUUCCACUGCACGCCCAUCAUUUUGCUAUCUCUAUAAAAUAAUCCCAAGUUUUUUAUAUUAUCUAAACCAUUCAACAAUUAAACUGCUACUUGGUCUUCAUGCAAUAAUUUCUUUUAACAAUUCAAAAAAAAGCAAUGGAUAGAGGAGCAAAUUAACUAGGCAGUAAGAAGAAACAAAGCCCAAAUCGUAGAGACUAACCACCUUUUCCUUUUAUAACUGAAACACAGCCAUAGAAUCAGCGCUUCUCCCUGCUCUCUUGUUACUUUUUCUUUACAACUUCUCUGUUUCCAGCUUCUUCAUCUUCUCUAUUCCUGUUACUUUCCUGCAAUCUCUCUUAAUGUCACCUGCUAUUUCCAGCUUCAAUCAUAUCUCCUUUGCGGAGCAUGUCCAUUGAACGUGAAAGAUAGGAACAAGCUUCCAAUGUCCCUAGCAGAUAUAUCAUGAACCACUAGUGAGAAUCGGUGCUUUACAGCUCAAAAGGACGACUGCUAACGGAGAGGAAGCAGAGAUCGGUGACUAGUGGAGAAGAAGCAGAAGUGCAUGGCUUUGUUUUUUAUUUAUUUUUUUUAUGUUUUAUUUUAUAUAAUAAUGUAAUCUUUUGUGAAAAAUUAAAACAAACAGGAUACUGAAU
rnacentral:lncRNA from 1 species